GGAGCUUGCUCCACCGGAAAAAGAGGAGUGGCGAACGGGUGAGUAACACGUGGGUAACCUGCCCAUCAGAAGGGGAUAACACUUGGAAACAGGUGCUAAUACCGUAUAACAAUCGAAACCGCAUGGUUUUGAUUUGAAAGGCGCUUUCGGGUGUCGCUGAUGGAUGGACCCGCGGUGCAUUAGCUAGUUGGUGAGGUAACGGCUCACCAAGGCCACGAUGCAUAGCCGACCUGAGAGGGUGAUCGGCCACAUUGGGACUGAGACACGGCCCAAACUCCUACGGGAGGCAGCAGUAGGGAAUCUUCGGCAAUGGACGAAAGUCUGACCGAGCAACGCCGCGUGAGUGAAGAAGGUUUUCGGAUCGUAAAACUCUGUUGUUAGAGAAGAACAAGGAUGAGAGUAACUGUUCAUCCCUUGACGGUAUCUAACCAGAAAGCCACGGCUAACUACGUGCCAGCAGCCGCGGUAAUACGUAGGUGGCAAGCGUUGUCCGGAUUUAUUGGGCGUAAAGCGAGCGCAGGCGGUUUCUUAAGUCUGAUGUGAAA
rnacentral:rRNA from 1 species